rnacentral:rRNA from 1 species
UUGACGGGGAGCACCACAACGGGUGGAGCUUGCGGUUUAAUUGGAUUCAACGCCGGAAAUCUUACCGGGACCGACAGCAAUGUGAAGGCCAGGCUGAAGACUUUGCCGGAUUAGCUGAGAGGUGGUGCAUGGCCGUCGUCAGUUCGUACUGUGAAGCAUCCUGUUAAGUCAGGCAACGAGCGAGACCCACGCCCACAGUUGCCAGCGUACUCUCUGGAGUGACGGGUACACUGUGGGGACCGCCGCUGCUAAAGCGGAGGAAGGAAUGGGCAACGGUAGGUCAGUAUGCCCCGAAUAUCCCGGGCUACACGCGAGCUACAAUGGUUGGUACAAUGGGUAUCUACCCCGAAAGGGGACGGGAAUCUCCUAAAACCAAUCUUAGUUCGGAUUGAGGGCUGCAACUCGCCCUCAUGAAGCUGGAAUCCGUAGUAAUCGCGUUUCAACAGAACGCGGUGAAUACGUCCCUGCUCCUU